rnacentral:tRNA from 2 species
GGAGGCGUCGCCUAGUGGCCUAUGGCGCCGCACUGCUAAUGCGGUUCGGGUAACACCCGUCGAGGGUUCAAAUCCCUCCGCCUCCGCCA